rnacentral:lncRNA from 1 species
CUCAAUACAAUCUUCCAGUAUGCUGUCAUCCUCAUCUUCAGAUCAAAAGCCUGCUGAAGAACGUCUGGAUGCUCCCACAAAUUCCCCACUUCGAUGUUUCCAAACCCCUCCAGGAAUACAGUAGCUGGGCGGUAAUCAUUUCUCAGCACCUGAUUUAAGAAUGUCUGUUGCUGGGUCAUGAGCUUGUUCCAUUCUGUUGUGUAUGCAGAAUCACAGGUGUAGUCGGUGAGCUUCUCCAUUUCUACAACCUCUGUUAUCCAACUCAUCGAUCGAUCUUUCAUCCCUUCGACGACGCUUUUCCCUGCUCGUCUGAUGGGCUGCUGGAGCUGUGGAUAGUGUUCAGAAUGCUGCAUCAACACGGCAAGGACAAUGACCUGAAUGUAAUCCCAAACUUUCAUCACAAACUCAACUGGUAAAUUUGAUAUUAAGUUCACUUUCCUCUGCAGAAUCGAGAGGAAGGCGGCACGGGGAAGGAAAUUGGGAAGUCCAAUGCCUCUGGAUUCCUCCAAGACUUUGAUCUCUUCUAUUAGAAAGUUAGCAGUGUUGUCGGUUCCGAUGCACUUGUGGAGCUCAUUGGAGAACUGAUUGAUCAUUUCAACCAUCCUGGCUGUCGAAUGCAUCUUUUCAUCAUCGGGAAACUCAUCAUACUCUC